CCUCGACGAAGACACCGUCGUUGGGCAUUCCCUAUGAAAAGGAAAAGAGGAGACAGGGAAUGCCCAACGACAGUGUCAUCGGGUAGGCGGAUUCUGCCGUGUCGCCCAAUGUCCUCCUACAACUUCUGAAAUUGGUCAGCUGGGCUGUGAGCCACUACUGAAGUGCUGUAGAAGGGAAAGGGGAAAAUAAUGCCAUCUCCAUCUACGACCAUGGAUAUCUUCAAGACAUGGCCAAGGACCUGAGAUUGCCACCUGCUAUCGCUUUAUCUUUCUUUAUAUAAAUAAAAUUGCUACCCAUCAAA